rnacentral:rRNA from 1 species
CUUUACUGUAACUUGGCAUUGAUAUUUGGUGAAGGAUGUGUAGGAUAGGUGGGAGGCUUUGAAGUUGCAACGCCAGUUGUGAUGGAGCCAUUGUUGAAAUACCACCCUUUCUUUACUAAGUAUCUAACUGAUCCAAUGAAUCUUGGAUCAGGACCAUGUCAGGCGGGCGGUUUGACUGGGGCGGUCGCCUCCCAAAGUGUAACGGAGGCGCGCGAAGGUUCCCUCAGCAUGAUUGGAAACCAUGCGUAGAGUGUAAAGGCAUAAGGGAGCUUAACUGUAAGACUGACAAGUCGAGCAGAUACGAAAGUAGGUCUUAGUGAUCCGGCGGUAGCGAGUGGAAGCGCCGUCGCUCAACGGAUAAAAGGUA